CGCCCCGCACAUUGGACUUAGACCUGGCCACGAGUUCCUACGGAGGCAGCAGUGGGAAUUUUGGACAUUGGGGCAACUGAUCCAGCAUGCGCGUGGAGUGAAGAAGCUCGGUUGUAAAGCUUCUUUCGGCCGGGAAGAAAUCGCAUCUCCUAAUACGGGGUGUGGAUGACGUACUGAAGAGAAGCACGGCUAACUACGUGCCAGCAGCCGCGGUAAUACGUAGGGUGCGAGCGUAAUCGGAAUUACUGGGCGUAAAGCGUGCGCAGGCGGCGCCAUAAGACAGCUGUGAAAUCCCCGGGCUUAACCUGGGAACUGCGGUUGUGACUGUGGUGCUUGAGUGCGGCAGAGGGGGGUGGAAUUCCACGUGUAGCAGUGAAAUGCGUAGAGAUGUGGAGGAACACCGAUGGCGAAGGCAGCCCCCUGGGCCAAUACUGACGCUCAUGCACGAAAGCGUGGGGAGCAAACAGGAUUAGAUACCCUGGUAGUCCACGCCCUAAACGAUGUCAACUAGGUGUUGGGUGGGUUAAACCAUUUAGUACCGUAGCUAACGCGUGAAGUUGACCGCCUGGGGAGUACGGCCGCAAGGUUAAAACUCAAAGGAAUUGACGGGGACCCGCACAAGCGGUGGAUGAUGUGGAUUAAUUCGAUGCAACGCGAAAAACCUUACCUACCC
rnacentral:rRNA from 1 species